GAUGAACGCUGGCGGCGUGCCUAAUACAUGCAAGUCGAGCGAACAGACGAGGAUCUUGCUCCUCUGACGUUAGCGGCGGACGGGUGAGUAACACGUGGAUAACCUACCUAUAAGACUGGGAUAACUUCGGGAAACCGGAGCUAAUACCGGAUAAUAUAUUGAACCGCAUGGUUCAAUAAUGAAAGACGGUUUUGCUGUCGCUUAUAGAUGGAUCCGCGCCGCAUUAGCUAGUUGGUUAGGUAACGGCUUACCAAGGGAACGAUGCGUAGCCGACCUGAGCGGGUGAUCGGCGACACUGGAGGUGAGACACGGCACAGAGUCCUACGGGAGGCAGCAGUAGGGAAUCGUCGGAGAUGGGCGAAAGCUUGACGGAGCGGUGGCGCGCGAGUGAAGAAGGUCCUCGGAUCGUAAAACUCUGUUAGUGGGGAAGAACAAAUGUGUAAAUAACUAUGCACGUCGUGACGGUACCUAAUAAGAAAGCAACGGCUAACUACGUG
rnacentral:rRNA from 1 species